AGCCUCUUGGUACUUACUAUCAUUUGUGUUCUUCCAGUGACUAUACAGAAAAAAAGCAGAGAUAAACGUACUCUAUAUAUAUAUACUGCAGUCCAGNNCCUGUGCCUGCUCUGAAUUGUCAAUAAGGAGGCCUGG
ensembl:snoRNA